rnacentral:lncRNA from 1 species
CAGAAUAUUCUUGAGUGGAAUUAAAUGGCACAUAUAUAAGGGUAAUAUAAUAAUGGCAGGGCAUACUUGAAGUUCAGCUGAAAACUCCUCUCAUUGGUUCCUAUUCAUUUCCUCAGAUUUUUCCCUGUUCAGUCUCAGAGGAGAGACAGAGGGAUGUGGUGCACCUUGAGACAAACCAUGCUUGAUGGCAUGACCAGUUGGUCACUAUUAGUAGGAAGAGCCUAUGAGAAUUUCAACAAUGUUAAACUGGGACAUAUACAUAAGGCCCAAGAAGUCAACUUCAUUCUUGAUUGCUUCAAGUCCAAAUCAAGAUGCCAAGAGGACUGUGCUUCAGUGAAACAAUAACCUAAACAUCCUGGAUACACUGGCAUUAACCCU